rnacentral:lncRNA from 12 species
GGAUGUAGCACAAUUGGAGGUGCAUUUUAAUUUUCAUUAUUUUUUUAAAAGAUUAUUUAUUUAUUUAGUCAGGGGGUGGGGGCAGAGACACGGGCAGAGGGAGAAACAGGCUCCAUGCAGGGAGCCUGAUGUGGGACUCGAUCUCGGGACUCCGGGAUCAUACCCCGGGCUGCAGGCAGCGCAAAACCGCUGCACCACUGGGACUGCUUAAUUUUCUUUUCUUUUCUUUUCUUUCUUUCUUUCUUUCUUUCUUUCUUUCUUUCUUUCUUUCUUUCUUUCUUUCUUUCUUUUUUUUUUAAGAUUUUGUCUAUUUGAGAGACAGAGAGAGCACACAGAGGGAGAAGCAGACUCCCUGAUGAGCAGGGAGCCCUAUGUAGGGCUCAAUCCCGGGACCUUGAGAUCAUGACCUGAACUGAAGGCAGAUGCUUAAUGGACUGAACCACUCAGAUGCAUCCCUCCGAGGUACAUUUUUAAAAGAAUCUCUCCGGCUGUGGAGGAGCCAGUAGUAGGUAGGGGUAGGAGUGGAAGCAGAAGCCAGGUGGGGAAGUGGUGGGUGCUGGCCCAAGGCGACAGAGCCAUGGCAGUGAAGACCUCUGAUGAAUCAGAAGGGGGGCAAGAGAAAGGGGAGUGAAGCAUGAGUCCUCUGGAGGAUGACAUCCUCCUCAACUCUCCUUGCCUCUAAGCCCUCCUCUGAACUGUUCCCUCUGCCUGGAUGUCCUUUCCUCCCCUUUGCCUGGACAACUCCUACUUGGGAUCAUUUCUCACUUAGCUCUCCUGUCCUCCAGGAAACCUUCCCCUCCUCAAGUACAGCUUCGGAACUCCUUGGCCCUGUUCCCGUGACAGCCAGGUGCACACAUGGUGGCUCCAGCAUCAGAGGACACCACAGCCGGGACACAGGAAGCCAGUUGGAGACGGGAACUGAAUCCCACGGGAGUGCUCCGUGUGCUCCAUGUCAGCUGCUCCCAAGUUCCCAGUGCAACAGUGUUUGCUUUUGGCCCACUUGGAGAUCUGAAUUAGAGCCUUGUCAUGCCAGGAAGAGAGCAUGACGGAGCUUUGGAAUCAGUUCUGACACCUGCAUGGAGCUGGUGCUGUCCGCCUAUGUUCAGAUGACUCAGGAGCCCAGAGAGGCGAGGGACCCAUCAGUUACCACACGGCACGUAAGUAGGAGCAUUGGGGUUUGAGCCCAAGUGGGCCUGUGAUUCCACGGUUUCCCAUCCCACGUGCUGCUGCCUGUAGAGCUGAGAUGUGACCCUGGGCAUCACUGAGACUGUGUAAAGGACGCUGCAGAAGGAAACGAAAAGCAGAUGAAUAAACCAUUUGUUUGUCAGGCUCA